rnacentral:rRNA from 1 species
AGCGAACGCUGGCGGCAGGCUUAACACAUGCAAGUCGAACGGGCGUAGCAAUACGUCAGUGGCAGACGGGUGAGUAACGCGUGGGAACGUACCUUUUGGUUCGGAACAACCCAGGGAAACUUGGGCUAAUACCGGAUAAGCCCUUACGGGGAAAGAUUUAUCGCCGAAAGAUCGGCCCGCGUCUGAUUAGCUAGUUGGUGAGGUAACGGCUCACCAAGGCAACGAUCAGUAGCUGGUCUGAGAGGAUGAUCAGCCACAUUGGGACUGAGACACGGCCCAAACUCCUACGGGAGGCAGCAGUGGGAAUAUUGGACAAUGGGCGCAAGCCUGAUCCAGCCAUGCCGCGUGAGUGAUGAAGGCCCUAGGGUUGUAAAGCUCUUUUGUGCGGGAAGAUAA